UAUUGCACAAUGGGGGAAACCCUGAUGCAGCGACGCUGCGUGAAGGAAGAAGUAUCUCGGUANGUAAACUUCUAUCAGCAGGGAANNAANNNANGGUACCUGACUAAGAAGCCCCGGCUAACUACGUGCCNGCAGCCGCGGUAAUACGUAGGGGGCAAGCGUUAUCCGGAUUUACUGGGCGUAAAGGGAGCGUAGACGGAUCUGCAAGUCUGGAGUGAAAGCCCGGGGCUCAACCCCGGGACUGCUUUGGAAACUGUGGAUCUAGAGUGCCGGAGAGGCAAGCGGAAUUCCUAGUGUAGCGGUGAAAUGCGUAGAUAUUAGGAGGAACACCAGUGGCGAAGGCGGCUUACUGGACGGUAACUGACGUUGAGGCUCGAAAGCGUGGGGAGCAAA
rnacentral:rRNA from 1 species